UACGUAGGGUGCAGGCGUUAAUCGGAAUUACUGGGCGUAAAGCGUGCGCAGGCGGUUCGUUGUGUCUGAUGUGAAAGCCCCGGGCUCAACCUGGGAAUGGCAUUGGAAACUGGCGAGCUGGAGUGUGGCAGAGGGGGGUGGAAUUCCGCGUGUAGCAGUGAAAUGCGUAGAGAUGCGGAGGAACACCGAUGGCGAAGGCAGCCCCCUGGGCCAACACUGACGCUCAGGCACGAAAGCGUGGGGAGCAAACAGG
rnacentral:rRNA from 1 species